UGACUCUGGGAUAAGCCUGGGAAACUGGGUCUAAUACUGGAUACUACCUCUUACCGCAUGGUGGGUGGUGGAAAGGGUUUUACUGGUUUUGGAUGGGCUCACGGCCUAUCAGCUUGUUGGUGGGGUAAUGGCUCACCAAGGCGACGACGGGUAGCCGGCCUGAGAGGGUGACCGGCCACACUGGGACUGAGACACGGCCCAGACUCCUACGGGAGGCAGCAGUGGGGAAUAUUGCACAAUGGGCGGAAGCCUGAUGCAGCGACGCCGCGUGAGGGAUGACGGCCUUCGGGUUGUAAACCUCUUUCAGUAGGGAAGAAGCGAGAGUGACGGUACCUGCAGAAGAAGCGCCGGCUAACUACGUGCCAGCAGCCGCGGUAAUACGUAGGGCGCAAGCGUUGUCCGGAAUUAUUGGGCGUAAAGAGCUCGUAGGCGGUUUGUCGCGUCUGCUGUG
rnacentral:rRNA from 1 species